GAUGAACGCUAGCUACAGGCUUAACACAUGCAAGUCGAGGGACCGGCGCACGGGUGAGUAACACGUAUCCAACCUGCCCUUUACUCGGGGAUAGCCUUUCGAAAGACAGAUUAAUACCCGAUAUAAAGGAUGGGGAUGCGUUCCAUUAGGUUGUUGGUGAGGUAACGGCUCACCAAGCCUUCGAUGGAUAGGGGUUCUGAGAGGAAGGUACCCCACGGUGGAACAGAGACACUGUCCAAACUCCUACGCGAGGAAGCAGUGAGGAAUAUUGGUGAAUGGGCGCUGGCAUGAACCAGCCAAGUAGCGUGAAGAAUGAAGGCUUAUGGGUCGUAAACUUCUUGUAUAUAAGAAUAUGUAUUAUAUGAAUAAGGAGCGGCUAAAUCCGAGCCAGCAGCCGCGGUAAUAC
rnacentral:rRNA from 1 species